ACUGGCCUCAAGCGAAGAUUACACUCCACCUGGCCUAACUUGCGCAGGCCGCGCCCAUGGACUGUCCCGCACCUUGCGCUUCCGCAUCCCACUCAGUCCCGCGCCAGCCCUGGCCUCGCCCGCGCAGUGGAUGCCGGUCUUGUACACGGAGUUGCCAUUUUGCCGCUAGAGAAGCCCUCUGGAGACCUGAACGCUCUUUCUUCAGUGGCCUAGCCUGCGGCGGCGCCGGGACUGGGUCUGGGCCAGGGGUCGGCACAGCCAGGACUUGGCGCGCGGCCCGGAGUCGCUGGUCUCCACCAGGCGCUGCAGGGAGCCCAGCCCCGGAGUGGGACCUGCGGGAAGCAGCUCAGGUCUCACAUGGCCUCUGCUGUCACUGAGCCUGGCUGUGCUGAGGGGGGGACAUUUACCCCCCAAAUGAGGAUUUCAUUCCACUCCGAGCUCCUCCCUGCAGACUGAGAGAGGACCAAGAUAUUAGAGUAAGAUAGCAGUUAUUAUUCUACCUGCACAUGCUUUGGCUCAAGUCCCUUCUAUUGAUAAGGGGUUUCUGCUUCUUUUAAUAUUGGUGCCACUUGGGUGUUUAGGUUUUGUGAGGAGACUGAAUGCAGCAUGGGGCUUUGACAACAAGGCAAAGUGUGAUCAGUAGGGUUUAAAAAUUUAAAUCCACAAAUAAAAAUAAUUCACCCACAUAAUUGAACCUUGCUACAGAAUACCCAUCUUGCCCAUAUUUGGCUGUCUCUAACCAUUACUACCCAGUUCUGCUCAUAUCAUUUAUAUAUUUGUAUAGUGUUGAAUAAUUUUAUUAUAUAGGUAGAAGUGUACUUAGUUAUCCUGUUACUGACCAUGUACAAAAGUCUAGUUCGUCUUAGAAAAAUUGCAAUGAGCAUAUAUCAUUUUUUCUUGGGAUAAAUUCCAGAAUUUGGAAAUACUAAUUCAGAGUUCUCUGUUCUUUCCCUGACACUUGACAUGAACUGGUGCCUAAACAAGCCAUGUUUACAUCUUUCAAAAUCUAGGUAUUUGUCCAAUUAUCUUGGAAAAUUUGGAGUUCAGAAAGAUGUUGAGUCAUUUUCUGUGCAGACUGAGAGACAGGUCAAACAACCUACUGUUGAAUUUUGUUUUUAAGUGAUGUACCAUAUUCAUCUAUUUAUUUUGAUUGAAUCUAUUCUGUUUUGUUUCAUUUGGCUUCAUUCUCUCUAAAAUAAAAUUUUUAAAAAAUUUUCUUGCUGGGCAUGGUGGUUCAUGCAUGUAAUCCCAGCACCCUGGAGGGUUAGACAGGUUCAUCAACAGGGAAUGCCAAGCUAGCCUGAAAUACUGAGUUCAAGGUCAGGCUGCAGUACAUAGCAGGACUUUAUCUCAGAACAAAAUGAACAAACACUUUUUCCUCUUAUUUUAAUGUAGCACAAGUAGAUACUAAUAAAGAAAAUAUGAAAACCCUUAUAAAUAGAUUAAAGAUUUGAUACUAUGCAGUUUAUAUACUAUGAAACUAUAGUAUAUUUAUAUACUAUAGUAUACUUUAUAUAACUAUAUACUCUAAAACUGCAUAGUACGAAACUAGUAUGAAGUAUGCAGUUUCAUAUUAUGCAGUUUAUAUUCUAUGUUUAGUGAUCCUGGGUUUUUGUGCAUGAGCUAUAUGCCCCUGCAAUUUAAAAAAAUUUUUUUUUGAGACAGGGUCUAUAUAAUUCACUAAUUCCACAGGUUGGGUUUAAACUUGUGGUCCUCCCAGAGUGCUGGGAGUAUAGGUACAGGCUAUCCUUACUUAGAAAUUUGCAAUAAUUAUGUAUAUUUAUGGGAUAAAAUGUGCCUUUAAAAUAUGGAUCCUUUGUAGAAAGACUCAAUCUAGUUAAUGUACCUACCACCUUACUAAUCUACAAAUUCUUUCACAGUGAGUAGGACUGUAAAUCCCAUUGGUUAGCAGUUUUGAAGCUGUCUUCUUAUUAACUGUGGUCACCAUAAUGUUUAGUAGAGAAUUCAAAAUUUCUUCUUCACUGUGACUGAGAUUUUGUAUUCUUGGGUAAACAUCCUCCAUUCACUAUCUCUCGUGGAACUGAUCAUAUUUUAAAAUCAGACUGCCAAAGAAAGGUGUGAAGGCUCAAGGUAUUUGGGGCACAUUGCUCUUCAGAAAGCCCAAGCAGUGGUACUCUGCAGGCAUGCACCUUGCUCCCAGUUCUUUUGGGUUUUUUUGUUUGUUUUUUUGUUUGUUUGUUUGCUUUUUUUUUUUCCUUAACUGAAUUGUAGGAAUUGAAUGCAGGGCUGUCUUAGUUACUUUAUACUGUUUGCUGAGACAAAAUACCUGAUGCCAAAAGUUGGGAAAGGAAAGGUUUAUUUCUUACAAUUUUUGGAAGUUUCAGUCCAUACUCAGUUGGCUUUAAGGCAGGCUGGCAUGGCAGGGCCGAGGUUCAUGGCUGCUGCAAACAGCAAGGAGGAAACAGGCAAAAGAGCAAGACAGGCCUUCUUUCUGCCAUUACAUCACAUCCUGGCUCCACCCCUAGGUCAGUGUAGCACUCACACCCCCGGUCCAAGGGAUAAACAAUGAACCAGUCAAAAAUGCGUAAUAGAAUCGCAUGAGGCCUGGGGGCCACAGACAUAAACUAUGACAAGGGCCUUGCACUGAACUAGACUAACUUCUGUUUUAAAAUUCUUUUUUAAUUUGAGCCAGGGUCACCAGAAGGAACUACAGUGCUGAGACACCAUUCUUGGACAUACAUUCUUACAUGUCUAUGUGUGGAUGCACCUUGAUGUCAUGUUGGAAACUAACAGGAGAUGAAAUAACUCUGAGCAGGAUUUAAAUUUUACUAAUUGACUUUCUAUGGGUAGCUGUCAAUCUGUCCUAGGCCCAGGCCCAUUGCCUGGAGAUGGGAGCUGAUUCAUAGUAAGUGAACCUAUAUGAAUCACAGGUCCUGGCGGAGGCCUGUAGUGGAUUGUGAGGCCAGAGAUACCUCAAAGGGCAAGAUAAGGCUAUAGCUGUGGACAGUCUGGCUCCAACACCAAUUAACUAGGUAGAGACUGCAGAUGCAAAGAUUACUCCUACAGUGUCACUUCUACCAUGUCUUCAUGAUAAGACAGUGCUACUGAAUUGACUUGAUUCAUUACUUGGAGACAUCCUUGAAGUGACUCCCAAGGUCCUGCUCAUUGAUUGUACUUUCCUCAGUUUCUCUGCCCUUUAUCCUUGGUCCUAAUGUAAGUAGAUUGACACAGACAAUCCUUUGUCUUUACCCUCAAAGUGGAGCCCUACAAAUCAUAUAAUUUUGUUUUUAUUUAACCUCCACCAUAAACUAGUUUGGGAGAUCCGGGAUCUAGGACAGAACCCCGUAAUGUCAGAGACAUUUCACUUUGAAAACCGAGAUCCUUAUUCUCACAUCCAUGUAUUAUUUCAUGAUCAGAUUCCUUGGCUUCUUUUCCUGUGGACCCAGGGAGACCAAUCUCAGCAUCCCCCCAGCUUUCCCUGCAUUCUGUGGCCCACACUGAUGCCCUAUACCCUUUACAUGGAAGAUAGAGAUGGUCCCAGUUUCUUCCUGCUUUAAACAGCUGUGAAUCAAACUCCUGAAAAGAAAUCUUGCAAAGUUGUGCAACUUUCUGUAAGUCAUAAACCUCUGUAAGUCAUAGCACUCUGAUGGGAGCUGCCAGAUGGGGCUCUGCUUGGCCCCCCAUGUUCUCCCCAGUGCUGUUCAGGAACUGCCUUAAAACCUGCUAUCAGAUGGAGACACAGCACAUCUCAGGGAUGUGUGACUGCAUGAAACAGCUUUGGAGGCUUAGUGUUUUCUGCCCUUGUUGGUCACUUGUGGUGAUUCUCUUUUGAUUUAUAAGAAUUUUUCAUCUCUCACAGAAUGAACUCAUGACACCUCUUUUACACCUGUAUCACAAACUAUCUGUCUGACUAUGGCUUGUAAGGAAAGGUUUCUUGUAGUUUCUACAUGAUACUUGUUUCUGUUUUUCAAAUGCAAUGAAUCAGACCUUUGUAGCUCCUUUCUAUCACUGAAGUCAUGGGAAAACUUUUCCAAAAUGAAAAGAUGAGUAGGUACACAAUGGUCUCUACAUUUUCCUGAUAGAAUUGUCUACCUGGGGUUUUCUCAUCUAUCAAAGAGCAACAGCAGCCAGUGUCUUCCAGUAAAAUUUGACUGAACAGAAUCUGAUAAACAAUUAUUAAAGACCCAGAGUACUAAAUUGCAGUGAGAAAAAGGUCAGAGGAGGUUGGGGUAUAGCAGGAGAGGACAGGGGUAUGGGGGGUCCAAAACUGAGUAGAGAGCUAGAAAUCAAUAGCUGUGGAAAUUGUAGAAAUAGAUGGUGUACUUAUGUGCUAUUGAAUUGAACAUGAUGAAACAAAUGGUAUCUUAUCUUUAAAGGUAAAUUGUACUGAAUUCAAUGUCUAGAAGAGUUACAGACUUAGUAGUAGAAAUGUAAACUUAAAAUAAUACAAGGUGUACAAGGAGAGGGGAAAGGAAAGGCAGGUGCUUUGGAGGAUUGGCCCUAAGUGGAGUUCAGGAUGCUUGCUGUGGAGCCAGUAAAAGCCUCAGCUCUAGAAUUUCUCAACACAGGCUGCCUGGCCAUAGUUUUCACUUUGAUCCCAAAGCUGGUGAGGUCACUGGAGAUGGAUCUAGCAUAAACUCUGCAUGUGGGGCUUGAGCUCAGUUAGGUACUACCCUGUGUCAGCAGAAGGAGAAAAAUCACCAACUAUCCUUGUUCCUUGCAGGCCCUAGAACUUCCCAGUGCCUGUCACAGACAGUUCUGUGCACAAAUCCACCCCAGGAGAGCUUACCAUUCUUCUUUGAGCUACUCACUUCUGCAUGUCUCAGUGUUGCAGGAGGCCCAAAAUCUUGGAGUCUUUGUCUGUCUAAAGUUUCCCAUGCACUCCCCAGAGGCCCACAGACCCAGGCCAAACCCUUCUGACUUCAGUUCUCAUUUUCAGUGAGCUCAGGUUGGUCUAACUCAACUGGGCAUGUUAUAGAUUUGGACAUCAACCUACUGCUGCACUUGCAGAGCCCCACCCCAGCCUUUUCUUUGCCUUGAAUGGGGUAGUGCUGGCCCAGGUGGUCCUCACAUGCUGAUAGAAGUCCCUAACAGUGCUGUGACCACCUGUCCUCCCUUCUUCAGGUAAGCCUAACAUAAACCUCCCUUCCCAACCUUUGUGGCCUGUUGUCUCUGAGCAAGAGUGGUGUCUGCAGAGUUACUCUACUCAUGGUCACUCUACAGGGGUGAUGUACUAUAAAUAUCUGCAAAGUGAGUGGACAGAGAGUGUGGGUUCUGCCUGCCUUUCCUCCAUCUUCAGUUUAUAUAAUGAUGUAUCACCCCAUUCUGUGUGCCUUAGAGGAACUCCCCUUACCCUAUUAUGUGUUCACAUGUACAGAGGCCAGGAAGUUAGGCACAUUCACAGUAAUGUGGGUAUUACAUAGUGUUCUCUCUAAGGUGACUGUGUGGCCUGCACAACAUUAAAGCACAAGACAACAGUGUUUAUGUUUAAUCUGGUCAUUACAUCUGUCAGAGCCUAGUAAAUUGAUAAUUAAAUGCACCCACCAGCUUCCUGCAUAAUUUCUGUGUGGACCAUGAUAUCUCUCAGAAAUUCCUGCUCUGGAUAAUAGGGCAUCCCACAGAAUGACUCUCCAUUGUCCUUCACAAUAAACAACAGCUUCUUCACCUAAGUGAUGGAUCCUUGGCAGGAUGCAAAUAUUUCCCAUGGCUAAGAAAAAACAGCAGUGCAGGCAGGGUCUCAGCUCUGAUGCAAAAGUCAGGGGUUUGGGUAAAACUUGUUUUUCUGCUUUGUUAUGUCAACCUAGACAAGACACCAUGCCUCUCAGGAGCUUCCCGAUAUGAUAGUGUACUCUAUGGAGGUCAUUCUGGCAUCUGCCACCUGGGAACAUCAUCAGUGAUGUGAGAUAACACUUUUAAAAUCUGUGGGCUGGUGUCACAUAUACAUAGAGCACAGAAUUAGAAGUGAAAUCCAGGAAAGGGUAGGAUGGAGGUGGAACACAGUGCACACAAUGCUGGCUCCUGCUGUGUGGUGGUAGAAAUGAGACUCACCUCCUGGACAUGUUUCCCUGGUGGCUUCAUGAGGGUAUGGAAAUGCAUUGACUCAGCCAUCCAUAUUUUCCCUAAGCAUCUCAAUUUCUUCUAUGUAUUGGUGCUGUGGACUCAAAUCAGGACCUCACACAGGCUGAGCAAGCACUAUGGAUGGAGCUACAUCCCCAUAUCUAAGUCCAUAGCUUCUAUAUUCACACCUGUGUGAGCAAACAGGCCUAUGGCCUGUGCUCCUACUCAGUAGCUGAAAGUUCAUCUUGUGAUGGCCAUAUCCUGAGUAGCCUGUUCCCUAUGUUAUGGUCCUAACUUUUUUUUUGUCUUUUUCCUUUUUAUCAGUACCGGGGAACGAACUCACAACUGCCUGCUUGCAAGGCAGGCACUUGUGCCACUGAGCUAAAUGCCCAGCCCUAUGGUCCUAACUUUGUGGCUUAUUAUUAUUAUUAUUAUUUUAAUUUUGCAUUAGCAGUGCUAAAAUUGAGGCCAGGGCCUCAUGCAUGGUAAGCAAGUAUUGUAUCAUGAGCUCUCUCCCCAGUUCCUGACUCACUCUUAAAUAACUGAAUAUGGCAGAGGUUAUGUGAUGGUACUAUUAAGGUUCACACAAAAUAACUGUGACCAAUCUCCUGAUCUUUUCUUUUGUUCUCCCCAGUAUGGUGGUUUUUCCUAUUUUUUUUUUUUUUUGGUCCCUCUCUGGAUCUCUGUCUUCAAAGAAGUCACUGCUAUCUCUGCAGCGUCCCUGAGGAGAGGCUGAUGAACCUUGAGUGACAAAAGGGAAACCAGACAGAGGAGACAUUAGGCUUUUGUCCUGAGUCCUUCCUAUAGACAAAGGACAAAGUCUGAGAGCAAAUUCUGCCCAAGUGGCAUGUUCACUGAGUAUGUAGCUCUAUGUACCAAACUACUAUGGUAGCAGCCUCAGAAAAGCCUCCUGGAUUCCUGAUCCACAGCAACUCUUAUUAGAACAGAGUAUUAUCUCUUGUAUCAGAUAGGCACAGACUGACCUGCCUUGUAUCUUUUAAUAUUUUGCAAAUGUAUGUUAUGACUGGACAAAAUUUGUCCUCUCUGCCUUCUUUCACCAAUCAAUCAUUCUGAGGUUACUGUACAGUGUUUUUAUAUUUUUAUUAGAAUUUCAAGUCAUGGCUUGCUGUAGUUUCUUUAUUAAUUUAGAUGUUAUUGGAUAUUCACAUUGUAGUUUUCAGUUUUGAAAUCAAAGCUGAUGUGAAUAUCUUGUAAAAUUCUCUUCAUUACAUAGGAAUGGAUGCACAGAAUGUUAAGGUAGUCAUGUGUGCUACUGUUAAAUUAACUGCCAAAAUGAUUUCUGAAGUGAAUAUACCACUAGCAAUGCAAAAGGAGUCUCCUUCCUCACCAAUACCAGUGUACUUUGACCUAAAAAAAAAAAAAGUCGGCUCUUAAUGCUCUUCAAUACAUAAGCAGGGUCUUUCCUUGUGAGAUGAAUAUUCACUUACCUGAUUACUGAUAAUGUUAAGAGACAUGUACAGACCCUGGAAGGGAACAUAACUCCCAAGAGCAUGUUGAAGGCCUUCAGAAGUGAUAGACAUGUGGAUCCCACAGAGGCCUUCCAAUCACUGCAGGCUCCUGCUGAAAUCACACUGCAUGAACCAGGGAGCUCUGCCUUCUACUGAGGUUAAGGCCCCAUGACCAGGACAGUCUCUGUGAGUUACUUGACAGAAGGUGGAGGUGGAGGAGCCCCUAGCCCAAGGAGGGGGACUUGAGGGACUGCUCCUCUCUACCCAUGAUACACAUAUACAAUCUGCAUAGCCCUGGAAUAUGGGAGCUGUAGAGACAGUUGAGUGAAAAUGUGAGUGAAACUGUCCCAACGUGGGUGUUAUAGCUAUGGGAAAAUGGGUCUGAUAAUACAAAGUUGUGCCCACAGAAGACAUGCCAAAUUUAUUCCAGCCAGCACUGCCUCUAUGUGACAAGUUCUACAGAAUGUGAAAAGGACAACCUGUGAGCAGAUAAGCAGACUUUGAUAAACAUGUUGACAGCAGCAGCCUGGGAUCAGAGAUGCCAGACCAGCAAGGUGCUGAUAUGGAGAGCAUGACUGCACCACAGGGACUGGGGCCUGUUAUGUACAGUGUCUGGGGAUGGAUAACAGGGAACUAAGGAGCAUAACUGGAUGCAGCCCCACUUUUGUUCAACAGGUAAAUGCAGCAUGGGGGCACCCUAUUGUGGUGUGGAUAUGUUUUCACCUGGGUAACUGUGUAUCACUGAAAAAUGAUACAGAUAUUUGAGGUGGCAACAAGCUCAUCAGGGCGAUGCCCACUGUUUGGCUUACUGUGGAAGCUUCUUAAGUCUGUGUUACCAAGGGCUGACAAUAACUAUCCCUACACUGACCAGGACACCACCUGGGUAUUCCCAUAUAUCAACGACACCAUCAAACCCAUUAUUAUGGACACACUGCAAUAUUGUGAAACUGUUCUGUAGGUGCCACCAUAUUGUACAGAUGGCCUGGUGCUUUUCUCUGGUGGCUGUGUUGCUACCAAGGACAAAAAUCAUGGACCUAAUCCUUUGUUAAUGCAGCGCCCAUGCCAUUAACUUUACUUGCUAGGCCUGGUGUUGCUCAUGGAUGAAACUUCUCAAAUGUGAAAGGUGGGUUUGCAAAACCACAUGAGCCUUGAUUUGGGAGCCACAGCCCAACAAGGUACUUGCACUGUCUUUCAUGUAGAAUAUGGCAUUUAUAUCUCUGACCAACAGAGAUAGGAAUAAGAGGUUUUACAAUAAAUGGAUGUUCACCUGAGACUCCCAGACUGCCAUCAUGGGUCUGCCCCACAACCUGGCAACCAAGGACACACUGGACUGCCACUCAGGCCCACACAGUUGGAAAUGCCCCAACCAGCUGGAUGUAGUAUUACAGUUGACCUUUGGCUCUGACCCUUUCUCCUAAAACUUUGGACUACAGUGGAUUAUGAUGCUGGCUCGAUGAGAGACUCAGGAACCCUUCACGCAAACAGAAGCUGUUGGCAGUCUCCAGUCAGUGUGGUGAGUGCGCCCCUAAAAUAGAGGUCUGCAGUGGGUAUAUAGGAGCAGAAAUGAAGCUCCCUCCAACUACAAGCCCUUGGCAAACCUGGCAAGAGAGUGAGUAACACUCCACACAGAGAACAUCAGACAAGUUGAGGAGUGUACCAAUAAGGCCUCCUCUCACUUGGAGAAAAUUAAAAGAGCUUAUAAAACACCCAGUGAAACAAUAGGGCCUCAGCUGACAAAAACAAUGUAAACAGGGAUAUCUGGUGACCUGCAACAACCUAAAGACAUAGCAAUAGCAAGAACUAAGAGUUUGCCUAGAUCUAUUCUUUUAGGCUAGUUAGUCCAGGAAGAAUAUAGGACUCACAAAACAGGCCCUGUGUGAGGAAUUCAGGUGACGGGCUCUCCUCUUCAUUUUGGUACCCAGCAAUUGCACAAAAAUCAACCACACAAUAGGACCCUAAAAUCCACACUAUUGGGAUUGGAAGACCAAAUAUGUACCCAAAGGAUGAAAAUGACAAGGUGAAUUGGCAAAAUGCAAUCUCAAACAUCUAGUGAAUCAGUAGCAAGCACAGGUAACACUGAAAUAGAGGAUCUUAAAAGUCAUAUACCAGAAAUCUCUGGAAAGAUAGCAACUGACGUAAAGAGUGAAAUCCACGAGGCUAUAGCAGAAAUCAAAUUAGAAAGAAUGUCCCAUGCAAAGACAGAAAUACCAACCUUAUUAAACUAGUUGCACAACAUAGCUAGAGAAGAAAUAGAUUUUUAAAAAGACAAGAGCAUGAGAAAUUGAUUGAAACUUUGAAUGAAUAAUGUAGAAAAUAAGCAGAAUCCAUGAAUCAAAUGCAAGGAGAUAUCCAAGACAAAAAACUAUUGAAAGCUGGUAAAGCUAUUUAUAAGAAGCUGAGGAUAGCUUGAGGACAGUGUCAUACAUAGUGAUCGUGAUAGGUUAGAACUUGUAAAAACAACAGAGAAACAUGAAAUAAUAAUUCAGUAGCUUCAAGAUGAUGUGAAGAGAAACAUAACAGUAACAGACAUCAGUGAAAGUACAGGAGUUGAUACCGUGUUAUGCUAUGUUAUUUUACAUUAUGUUAUAUGUUGGUGAGGAUUUUCAAACUGUAUUUUCUGUGGUUUCUGAUUUGAUUUUGUAUAAUCAACCUGAGAAAAUAUAAGAAUAUCACAUAACUCUGAGUAAGUAUUUUUUGAAGAAAAUUUAAAAAGGAAGACACAGUCAGCGAUGUUGGUACACACCUGUCAUUCCAGUACUCAGAGGUUGAGGCAGGGGAGUUAGUGGCCCAGCCAUGCCCCACAGUGAGUGCUGGAAGGUGUAGUGAUACACAAAGGUUAAGGAGAAGUUAGAAAUAAUAGCAUUUUCAGAUCAGUUGUGAGCAAAUAAGUCAUUAGCUUCCUACAUGAAGAGUAUCACCCCACGUGUCCUGUGACAACCACACAUUCUGGAGAUGAGAAAACAGGAUUGUUCUGGGUGAGGGAGUGCGGACCUGUAUGUGAUGACACACAGGGUACUUCCCUGUGGUGCUUCUGAAGAAAUUGGGUUUCCUUAGCCAUGAAAGGCUGAGUGGCUGUGUUCACUCUCUCUUGGUAGAAUGUCAUUUAGCCUAGUGGGGCCUCAACCUCUGACGAGAGGGGCCUGGAUAAUUUCCCUGAGACAUGGACAAAGUAGCAAGGGCCUAGGUUUUGGGUGAGUGCACCCCUGCUGAUGUGAUGAUGUGUCAGAGCUGGGGACAGGGUAGAAGCACAGUCACACCAGUGCCAAAGGGAUAAAUGGGCCCAGGCGUUACAGUGAACUAAAACAGCAGAAGUAAAUCAUGACAGGAGGUGAAGUGACUUAGUGUCCAUGUCCCUAUUCUGAGGCUCCCGCUAAUUUGUGGACAGUGACCUGGCACCUGGCCAUGUUGGCUGAGCAGAGAGGAGGUGAUAGUUGAAGAAUUAGACCCCAGGUUCCUUUUGGGGCAGGACCACAGGCCUGCUGUUUACACACCAUUUUGGGAAGUGCUGAAAAUGUAAUCUGACCCUGAAUAUCCCCUGUGCUCUUUGGGCCUCAUUACAGAAUCUCCUUAGGUCACUCUCUCCCCCUGCUGGCAUCUGUUGUUAUUGCGAGGUCCCACUGUGGUACAGGUAUGUAGAUUGCAGCCCUGCAGGGACGUGCUACAGGCUGAUGUAUGGGGCAGCACUGUUGGUGCAGUGCCUAGUAGUGUGCAAGAAGCUUCUGAGAUCUCAGACAAGCAGAAAAUCGGGACAUCAGGACUCUCCUAAAGCCUCCCAGAGUUCUGAGUAUAGCACAGAGAGACAUGGCAGCUUCUGGAAGCACAGGCUGCACAUAGAGCUGCAGGGUUUGCCCUGCACAGUGAGCUGGGAGGGGCCAUGCCCUGUCUCAUAACCCUGCUCCCCCAUGGUAGGGAUGAUAGGGACACCCAGGCCCACAGAGCAGAUAGUCACUAAGGGGUGUUCACCAGCAUUUAUGAUCCAGGAAGCCCUCAAAGCCAACAACCAGCCAGGACAGAAACCAGGAGGUCUCACUUUGUCUGUUUUGGGAUUGCCUAAGUGGGAAAGGAUUCACCUUUCUAGUGACAUCACAGAAACCACCAUCCAUGUGAUGAACCACGUCCUUUAGUACAGUUCCCCAUGGCUGCCUUUCAGACAGCACCUGGGGCUUGCUGGCCUGGUGGGGAAGCCAGGCUGUGUCCUUUUGGAAGCUGAUCUCGCCCACCUUUGCCUCCCCAUCUAGAAUUUAUUCUCACCCUCUGUUUCCCCAAACCCUAGAGCAGCACAGGCUCACUUAUCAGCCCCCAGGUAGCCUUUCUCAGAGCCCUAGUGAAUCUCCCUCUACCUGGGUUGCCUGGCCUCUGCUUUGCAUCUGAGGCCUGAAAAAACCCCAUCCUUAUCCCUGUUUCCUGCUGGGGACUCAUGGCCACCUGAGUGAGCACUUGGGUAACAGAGCUUCUUAUGUACAUGGGAAGGUUCUUUAGAAAUUAAGCAGUGAGUCCCUAGCUUCUGGAUUGAAGUUUCUGCAUUAGAGCCAGAUCAGAAGGCUGUACCAUCUCUCACUGGUAGUACAUAUUGCACACAUUACAUUUUGCAUCUGGUUGUACCCCCAAAGCCUCAUGUAGUCACAGGAGAAUGUUUUUUUCAAAAGUUGCUGAAACUAAGUUUGUGAAGGAUUCAUGGUCUAAUGCUGAGAUUAAGGGUGUUUGUGGCACACCUGCGCUAGGGUUGGUACCUGCUUACAUUGUAAGGGGUGGAAGGAGACUUCCUCUCCCCUCCUCACCUGUUGUUUUUACCGUUUUCCACUGCCGUGGACUGUUGCCCUCUGCCAUGUCCCACCCUGCCUUGAAGCCAGCAGGUAAUGGACUGAAACCUUUCCAAAUUGUGAACUAAAACACUCUCCCCUUUUUAAAUUUGGGUGUCUGUUAUUUUGCCUCACCGGCAAGAGAAAAGUAUCUAAGACAGGACACAAGAGACCCAGCCUCCUAUAACUUUUCCCAUGCUCUCAGCCUCAGGAAUUCUUGCUCACAUUGCUGAAUUCAGCUGAGUGUAACCUAUUUCCCUUUUAGACCACACAUCUGAUACCCAAAGGCGCAGUGCUGGCCCUGUGUAAUUAGAGACCUGCACUUGGCCUUGUGUGUCACAGUCCACCUUUCAAGCCGUGUGCUGUCUGAGACUGGGCCCUUGACCUGUGAGAUCAUGGUGAACCUGGACUGAUGAAAUCCCACACCAAAAAAUCCAGGCUCAGGGCUGCUCACCUCCAAAAAGUAAGCUUCUGUCAAAGUCAGACACCUGAUGUAUUUGGGGUUGAUUAUUAGUAGGAAAAGCCCAUUCAGAGUGUGAGCUUCAUGCUCCAUGGGAGCUAUGCAGAGCAAAAGAGAACACUAUGAUGCGGUCUGCAGCCAGCAGCUGAGCAGUGGCUUUUUCCCCACCACAAGGGUCUGUCUACACAGGAAGGAAGUCCCCCUCCUCCUCGGUGCACAGAAUAGAGUGUUGGGGUCAGUGACCCAGACACUGCAUGUGAUCCUCUCAACCCAUGCUCUCUAUGGCUGCUCAAACUGGUGACCUAGCACUUGGUCAUGGCCAAGGCCAUGACUGUCUGUGUUGAAGCUGCCUCACAGUCUCAGAAUAACAGAGCAGUACUUAAUGAAGGUUCCAACAGGUGAGGGGUGAACCUAGGCUCCAAAAGGCAGAGGCAUCUAUGGAAACUGUGCUCAGUGGGAACCCUAACCCUAGGGUACCAUAUUCUGUCACCUGGAGCAUGAACCCCAUGUCAGGCAGGGUGUGGUGCGUCCCAGGUACCAGAUACUGUGGAUUCCAGUAUGUGGUCAUGGUUUGGGAGGGAGGUAGCAUGUCUUCCCAGGGAGGUUGCUCUGCACUCUUUCACUUCCUGCCAGGCUCCCAUGGACAGGCAGUGUGACCUGGCAGAUGUCGGGGAACCUCCCUUUCUGUUCUGUGAGCCUCAGGCCACAGACAAAGGAGGCAGCUGCAUCCCACCCCAUGCUCUUCCAGAGGGCACUAAUUUCAUGGACUAGUGGCUAAAUAACCUCAUGACUGGUAAGUAUUUGACUGAGAGCAGAAUCAUCAUUGGUUGGCAUCUGCCAGCAUCUUCAGAAAUUCAGGCUGCCAGUUGCCUUCCUUGCACCUAUCCAUCAACCUGGUUGGUUCAUUGUUCCCAGCCAAAGAGGCAGUAUUAUGGGAGGCUCAUGUCUCAAAAGAGUCUUGACAAUCAUGAUGAAUGUUCAGUAGUCCAUAUCUCUGGCCCCUUUGUUUUGCUGACACUGUUUCCUAACUACUAAAGGAACAGCAUUGGGGGUGCACCCAGCAGAUUUCAAUGCCAAAAGCAUACACUGCCAGAGAAUAGCAGAGUGAAGACAGAUUCUUGACUAUUGGCAGUUGAAGAGACCUGCUGGGGUAACUGUCAAAACUGCCUCCCCAACACAAGGGCAGCUGGAUUGUACUGGAGAGACCUAUCACACCCAUAUGGGGAGGACUGGUCCUCACCUCUAGAGGGAGACACUUUCCUGCUCUCCUGGAAUCACAUUAUAAAUCAUGCUGCAUUGUGCACUGUGCAUCAGAACUGGUGAAUUAGGUGCCUCAUCUCUUUGAGCACCCACAUUCCACGCUUGAGUGCAUUUUGUAUCUCCCUCCAGCAAACCUUUCUGAAGCCUGUGUUUUAAAAAAUAGUGGAAGCAGGGCAUGGUGGUGCACACCUUUAAUCCCAGCACUCAGGAAGCUGAGUCAGGAUUCUUGAAAGUUUGGGACCAACCUAGGUUACACAGUGAGCUCAAGUCUAGCCUGAACUGCAAAGUGAGACCUUGAUUCAAAAAGACAAAAUCAAAUGAAAUAAAUGGUGGAUUAGAACCCUUCUGAGUAGAGAUUUGGGUAUUAUAAUGUGUGCAUAGCUUUUUUCUGUUUAACUUUCUCUCUCUCUCUCUCUAUCUCUCUCUCUCUCUCUCUCUCACUCACUGGGGAUUGAAUUCAUGGCCUUAUGAGUCUUGCUUCCUUCCUUGCUCUUUCUAACUCUGUCUCUGUCUCACUCUCUCUCCAUUUUUUUGACUUUCCAUAUUCUUCAGCCUAGGCUUGAACUUCUGAUGUUCCUGUCUCAGAUUCCUACAGUAUGGGAAUUACAAUUGUGCACAACUAUGCCAGUUUCAUAGGGUCAUUGUAACAAACACUGUUUACUCUAGAUGACUUACAAGUGUGUGUGUGUGUGUGUGUGUGUGUGUGUGCUCUUUUGGUUGGUUUAAAGUAAUUUCUCAUUUUUUGUUUUGGUUUUUUCAGUAUCAUGGAUCAAACUCGCAAUGUUGCAUUUUCUAAGCAGGUGCUGAAGCUGCUGAGUGAAGUCCUCAGCCUAAAGCAAUGACUUCUUGGUUCUCCUUAUCUUGAGGAUGUCAUCUGAAAUAAGUAAACAAUUUAAAGGGGUGUUUGAAGUUACUGGUAGUAUUUUCCUUAACCCUCACCUUCCCAAAGAAUGAAUGCUUAACCCUAUCCCCUCCUGCAUAGCAGCUAACUGCUUUGGGAUUGUCUCCUCCUGGGCUACCUGUAAACUGGGAGGGCUAUAGGUUGUUCUUGAUGGAAUUGUCCAUUGAGGCAAUGUCAUCCUCUUUGGUCAAUGUUACCAAGUGCCUGCAAGGACUGUCAUACAUCAGACACAGUGAACAAACCCAAACGCCUUGUGCCCUGAUCCAUGGCAUUGAUGAUUAAUAAAGAUCAAAUCCCUGGUCAGUACACCUUUUGAGAGUGGACUGAGUUUCAUUCUUCUUCCCUGGUAUCAUUUCCUAAGUCCUGUGAUGACAUUUGCCUCACUUCCAUCCUGCCCCUGUGCUGCACAGGUUACUGAGGGUCUCAGCUGUCCUGACCUGGACUGGAACAUGGUUCUCCAAGCAACCGAUGUGCCGUUCCCCUGCUUGCUGCUCUGACCACCUUCUGAUGGGCAUCAUUCCCAGGCUGAAAGUCCAGGGCAAUAGCAUCUCUUGGCCCCACUUUCACAUGUGUCAGCAAUAUAACUGGGAGUGUGGCCUCCCUUACUCUCUGAGCCUGGGGGGAGUCACUUCAACUGUUAUUGUGCACAGCCAGCUGAAGCACAGGAUCAGUGCCAGGUAGCAUGGAAAAACCGAGGACCCUCUGUGUGGCACCAUGUGAGAGCUGAGCACCAUGAGGGAGAGCACAAAACAAGGGUCCUUCCUUGUCCAGCCCAGUCUUCUCUGAACCUUUCGGUGGAGCCACAAGAGGAGACACUGCAUGUGUAGCUGCCCAAAAUUUAGCUGGUGCAGUUUGGUGCUAUCAGCCAAAAGGUAUCCCUCCAUCCUCCUCUUAUACACACUUCUCCUCUCAAGAGCACACAUCUGGGCUUGUGCUAGCCCUGGCUGGACUGGGAGCUGCCCUGUACUCCCCCAGAAGAGAGAAUCCAGUACCCACAGCCUUGAAAUCAAAUGGAUUUGGAAAUAAAAAACCUGAGGGAGGGGUUCCUUUCCCUGUUUAUUCUUGACUCAGAAGGAGGGAAGAGGAGCAAGAUUCAAGCACAGAUGAAGAGGAAGGAGUUCCUUUCCCUGUUUAUUUUGGACUCAGAAAGAAAACAGUUGAGCAGCAGUCAAUCAGUGAUGAAGAGGCGGGCUAUAUGAAAUGUCCAAUCAGGUGAGCGGUGGCAGGAGGUCUCUUGGGUCUUUUCUGGUGUGUAGACAUUGUUUACCUGUUUGGAAUACAAAACUGGGAGCAGAAUGCUUGCUGGAUCUCAUUUCCUGGUUUCGAAGUCCUGUGGCCUGAUCAGCAAAGAGUCUGGGAGACCCUCUAACCACGGAAUGGUGAGGCUUUGGAUUGGAGCCCAUAAAAAGGGCAGAAUUGGGAAAAAACAGUUACAAGUGGUUACAAGCAGUUCUGGUGUGUGUAGACUCAGGUAUUUAGUUAGUGUCAGCUCCUGAGCUCUUCUAGCAUUGGCCUUGGGUCAUCCACUUUCCCUUUUUCUCCUGCUGGGAACAAGGGUGAUUCUGUGUCCCCAGAACCCUGAAUUAAAUAUGAUAGCAUCAGAAUGGAUUAUCAUCUUUGAAAUUUUCUACUGUCCUGGCACCUCCAUCAUAAGGAGCAGUGGAAGGAGCUUGGGAAGCCCUGACUCUGAUGCAUUUUGUAGCUGGAGCAGCAGUACUUAGCUUGGUCUCUGCUCUUAUUCCAGGGAUCAGCAAUCCUGAUGCUCUAAAGUUUAUUAAUGUAUGUAAUGCAGGGCCUCAUAUCGCAAUGGCACUUCUUAAACCUGUACUUUUUUGUAUUUAUAGGGAUUGCCUAAAUGUAUGUUAUGUUCUCACAUUUCCAACCUCAUGACAGGUGUUGGCAAAAUCAAGAGAAUUCAGAGAUGUGUAGUGAUGUGCUUCAGUGGAGGAAGGCUUUCCAAACACCUGGUGAACUCCUGUGCAAAGAAUUUCUGAACAUACUUAAUGUGUCACAUGUGCUCAUAGACUAUGUUUGUGAGAACAGCCAUAGAGGUUUGAAUUUUGAGGGAAAAAAAGCAGAUAUAAAAGUGUCAUCAAGGGCAGGGUAAAGGGUGCUUGCUAAGGACAAAUUCUAGAAAGGGGUGCCUGUUAAAUUCUCACUGAAAAAUGCCUAAAUGUAGUCAUUUGCAUGAACAUAUAAAUACAUGAUAUCCUUCUGAAUGGAAAGGAAUAUGGGUGUUAUCUCUGAAUUAAGAGCUAAUUUAAUAGCUUGGUAGAUCAUAUACAUUGUUUAAAUAUGGAAAUGCUCUGUGAUGGACUUUACUAAUUCCUAUAAAGGAGAUGCCCUAAAUUGAAAUUGUGCAGGGAUAGCAAUAGUCUAGACAUGAAGGGUUUUCUGCUUAGCAUGGAUCACAGGAGCAUGAAAAGGAUGUGGAGGUGACUGGCAGGACACAGUGUGCAAAUAACAGGACAUACAACAGAGAGGGUCUUCCCUGAAAGUCAGGUAGUUCUUAGGGUAAGCAUGCAGUUAAAGUUGAAUUAUGAUUUCUUCCUUGAGGUGAAUAACACCAGCUCUGCUAACAAUCGGUAUUCCACAUCCCUGUCAACCCAUGAAUUCUGUGUUCUUCACUUGAGAUCUAGUUUUGAUUAUCUCAAAUUAUGACCCAGUAUCAUGAAGGUAAAAUUUCAAUUUUUUUUUGUGCCAAGGAUGGAACUCAUGAUCUCAAGCUUGCAAGUUAGGUUUUCAUGCUGCUAGUUAAAUACCCAGCUCUGAAAGUGUUUUCUGUAUAUUAUGGAUGAUAUCAACAUUUUUCCUCAGAAAAUGUUGAACAUUGUGGAAUUUUUCUAUAUUGUAUGGCUAAAUUUUUUAAAGCAAACCAAAAGUGUCCUAUGCAGUCACUUUUCAAGUUUCACAUUGUCUGUGGGGUGUCUCAGUCAGGGUUUCUCUAUUUCAGACAGCUCUGUAACUUAGGCUAGCUCCAAACUCAAGGAAGUUCUCCUGCAUCAGCCUCCCAAGAUAGAUUUCUUCUAUCUGAGUGGAAAGUAAUCACUUGUUGACACUGAGGUAUAAUUUGAAGCUUGCACUUGGUUUAAUUGUUUAUAUGUUUUUUACAUACAGCAGUUUUCCAUGAACAUUUGAGUUAUUAUUUAUGUACCAUAUUUGAUGUUAUUUAUGUUUUGUUCUGUGAAACUGUGAGAGUCGACCCCCCUGCUACAACCCCCUCCCCAGGGCGGGGAAUGAAAGGGUUAACUCCCUAACUCCCCAGAGCGGGGAAUGAAAGGGUUAACUCCCUAACUCCCCAGAGCGGGGAAUGAAAGGGUUGACUCCCUAACUCCCCGGAGCUCUCAGAACAGAGCAGUAAAGAGUGCUUCACUCCCUAAACCUUUCCCAGGAGAUAGUCAGAGCAGGGCCAAAAGGAAUGUCUCUGCUAGUCAUUAACCACUAAAUGCUCUGUUCUCUAUAAAGAUAGAGAUAAGCAAAAGAAUAUACUGUAUAAACAGGACCAGGGAGCACCUGGCACUCUAAGGUCAACCCAAGACCCUCGGUCUCCAUGGUUACUCAGCCCCAAACCCUCAAAUCAGCAUUAGCCAGGUCCUGCGCCGCUCAAAAUUAACCAAUGCGAUUUGCUUCUGUAAACUUACUUGCCUCCUACAUGUACCUUUAAAAACCCUACACAAAUUCCCCUCGGGGCCCCUCUGCACUUGUUUGCCUGAGGGACCCCAUGCGCAUGGAAAUAAACUUUUUUCCCUCACCAAGAAUUGAGUCCUUGGGGUCUCUUUCCCUGCGGCGUCGGCCCUAACAUCUUGGAGGCCCCAGCGAGAUAGCACGUCUCACGGGAGGUGACCUCAACGGCUCUGCGGUGGGUGAGUACGACCGGUCGCUUCUUAUUUUUACUCUGAGGAUCAAUCUACCGGUAUUUUAUGCCCCGAGUCAACCGGGCAAUUUUUGUUACCUGUUUUUGUUAUCUGUUCUCUGUUCUCUGGUGACCGGGGGACGCCCCACACGGUUUUCCGUGACUCACCGUCUGUGAUAGGAUUUUCCUAUCGGUUUGGGGCCCAAUCUGUGGUCCGUCAGGGCCAAUUCGGAGACACCCUCUGAGGUGACUCGUUUGGGGAAUUUCAUUCCCAAUCUGUGGUCCGUCUGGGCCAAUCUGGGGAAUUUCAUUCCCAAUCUGUGGUCCGUCCGGGCCAAUCUGGAGGCACCCCCUAAGGUGACUCGUUUGAUGUGAAACUAAUGCGUGAGAGUGAGGUGGCCGGCCUGUUUGUCCUGUAUGUUGUGACUGUUGUGAACGGUUAUUUGUUGUGUCGCGUGUACGCUAACCACUCUUUGUCUUCAGAACAUCAUGGGCCAGACGACAUCGUCCCCAUUGUCCCUCAGCCUCAACCAUUGGUCGGAGGCUCGAGAGAGGGCUCACAAUCUCUCCUUACAGGUUAAAAAAGUAAAUGACAGACUUUCUGCUCGUCUGAGUGGCCCACAUUCUCCGUGGGUUGGCUACCGGAGGGGACUUUCCACCUUCCCCUCAUCUUAGCAGUUAAGAACAUCAUCUUCUGCCCUGGACGAGAGGGCCACCCCGACCGGAUCGCCUACAUCUUGGUAUGACAAGACCUCAGGGAGGAGCCCCCACUGUGGGUAAAACCCUUCCUUCCUCCGCCCUCUCCUUGGUUGCCUGUUUAAACUUGUUACUAACUUAGGGGCUUCUUGCCCAUUUCUGUUGUAGGAUCCAUAUGGCUUAUUAGAUUCAAGGUUCAUGAUAAGAAAAAUUAUUUCCUUUAGCUGACCAAACUAUGCAAGAAGCUCCCUUUGUUUGUGUCUUUAAUGUUGUGGCACCUUGUUUAAUAUGUAAGACUUCAAUUGAUUUCUUGCAACCUCGGCAUGCCUUUUAAAAGGAGUAUUUUUUCUCUCUGGUGAAAAUAUAAACAUGUGCACAUAUAUAUGUAUAUCUAUGGUUGUUAAGAGUCAUGUCAACUUUGCCAAGUAAAAACCAGGCGGUACUAUAUUUGAGCCAGUUAAAAGGUUACAGUUUUGUUUUUAAAAUACAACAUUUUUAUGUGGUAAAAAGACAUAAAAUAAGUAUGUUUUGGGCUACUAGAAGGUGACUUCAAGGGUUUUGUUGAGAGUUUUGAUGUUGUCUGAGAAGUGAGAAAAAAAGGUAAUUGACUGGUAAUAGUAAAAAGAGGGACAAAGAGAGUGGUCUUCAAGUAAAGGUGUCUGGCUAUGCCAGAAUGUAAAAAAAGAUUAAAGCUUAGUUUGAGAGGUAUUAUUGUAAGUUGUAGAAGGCUCAAGAGGAUGUGAAUUUUAUUUGUCUUGGUUUAUAGUACUACAAAUAACAGGUUUGACAAAAAGUAAAUGUGUUCAGAAUUUGACAGUAUUAGAUCAGUUUUGGUAAAAGUAUACAUAAGAUUGUACUUUGCUGCAAAAUGUUUUCAUUAAAAUGAGAUUAUAGGUGAUAUUAAAAAUAAGAUACAAGUUCUUACAUGCGCUGUAAACAUCUGGGAGAUUAUACAGCACAAUUUUGUUACCUAUGAAAAAGCCCUUUUUGUUAAAAAUAUAAUUUUAAUAAAAUAAUGGCCUGUCACGUGACACCCUUGGACAAAAAAACAGUGUGCCAUCCAGAUGAAGCCGGCUCUCUGAUCCGGAAUGCCAAAACCAUGUUCUCCUUUUGUGCCACCCUGACUGGACAUCCAGAGGUAAGGAGGUUUCCCAAUAUUGCCAGUUGUUCUCUUUGUAACUCAGUCGGCCCCACAUGUUAGACAAAAAUUACAAAGGUUUAAAAGGUUUAAAAAAAUGCCCCUCAGCCAGUUAAUAGAGAUAGCACAAAAAGGUCUUUGAGAACUAAAAAAUUUACAAAAAGAUAGCCAAGGUGUUAAAAUUGCUCUAAAAAAAAAAAAAAACUUUUAAAAAACAGACGAGAGUUUCUGGGGGCAGUUGGAUACUGUAGGCUAAAUUUUACUGAAAAGCUUGCCUCUAUAUGACUGACUCCCAUAAGGGAGAAACUCAAAAUUCGCUGAACUGGACUGAUAAAUGUAAACAGGCCUUCCAACAGCUCAAGCGGGCCUUGACAGAGGCCCCAGCCCUGGGACUCCCUGACGUUACCAAGCCUUUCAUCUUGUUCAUAGAUAAACUCAGGGACAUUGCCAAAGGAGUCCUAACUCAGGACAUUGGCCCUUAAAAGAGGCCUAUAGCCUACCUCUCCAAAGACUUGAUCCAGUAACAGGAGUAUGGCCCCCUGCCUAAGAAUACUAGCUACUGUGACAAUGUUACUUAAGGAGACAAAAAAACUCGCUUUGGGCAAGUGAUUUCUGUGGUAACCUCUCACAGUUUAGAGACUCUUAUCAAAACCCCUCCUAAAAAAGGCUCUCAAAUGCCAGAAUUCUACUGUCAAGCCCUGCUUCUAGACCCAGAGUUAAUGAUGUUCAAGACUUCUUCAGCUUUAAACCCAGCCACCCUUAUGCCUGAUGAUGAUCCGGAGGAACAAAGGACACCUCUCCAUGAGUGUGCUGACAUCCUCGAACUGCAGCAGAACCUACAGGCUGAUCUUACUGACCAGCUUUUGGGAAAUGCCAACAACUGUUCGAUGAAAACAGCUUCAUCCAAAACGACAAACGAGUGGCCGGGGCAGCAGUGACCACCGAAAAGGAGGUACUCUGGGUUAAGCGGGUAGAGCCUGGCACUUCUGCCCAAAAGGCGGAGCUUAUUGCUUUGACUAAAAGGCUAAAACUAGCCACAAAAAAGAGGGUAAACAUUUUUUUACUGAAGACAUCCCUUUGCUACUGUACAUAUACGGGGAAGCCAUCUAAAAAUGCUCCACAGAUUCUAGAUUUGCUGGCAGCUGUCUGGCUGCCUCAAUGGGUUGCUAUUCCUUACAAGGCUCACCCAACCAGAGAUAAAAAAUAACAACCACAUCAGAGGGGUCAACCAAGAAAGUAACUGCUCUGAUACUAGUCCUCUGACCUUGUCAGAACUAGUCUACACAAAAAAAAAAAAGACCUACAGUUGACAUCUCAACUUGGAAUAAAGUCUCCCACCCCAAGGGGCUAAUACCAGUUACCUGAUAAACAAGUACUGUUACUGGAGGCACUAGGGUGGGAGCUGUUUCACCUUACAGAAUUGUUCAGAACUCAGUAUUUUAUUCCAAAACUCUACAAACUGACCACCUCUUCGAGCUCCAGAUGCCCACAGUGUUUGUUAGUCAACUCAGCCAAGAGCUCUGCGUUGGAGACCACCCGACAUCAAAAAAUUGUUCCAGGAGAACAUUAAAAAAUAAACUUCAUGGACAUGGUAAAACUUAAUUUACAGGGACACUGCUAUCUCUUGGUAUUAAUAAACAUUUUUACUGGCUAGGUAGAGGCUUUCCCUACUAAGUCUGAGUCAGCCUUAGUGGUAGUUAAAAGGCUAUUACAUGAGAUCAUACCUUGAUUUGGCCUCCCACUAUCAAUGGGGUCCGAUAAUGGCCUGGCUUUCAUAGCCCGAGUCACCCAAAAGUUAGCCCAGACAUUAAAGAUUAAUUAAAACUCCACUGUGCCUAUCAGCCACAAAGCUCAGGGCAAGUAAAACGUAUAAACCAAAGUCUCAAGGACAUUUUAGCUAAGCUGUCUUCAAAAACUGGCAAUAAUUGGAUGAGCCUUCUUCCCUUUACACUGUUAAGAACUAGAUAUACCCCAUAUGUUUCCAAAAUUUCCCCCUUUAAAGCCAUGUUUGGGAGGCCCCCGCCAUUGGUUCCAAGAUUGUCAAAAGACAAAUUAGCUGAAAUUACUAAUCGAGAUCUUAAGUCCCUACAGACACUCCAACCUGUGUUGGCCUGGAUCCACCAGCUGUUUAGACAAAAACACUUGGACCUGCCUUCAGAGACCAAGGCCUCAAGGACUCCAGUCUUGGUUCGAUGUCACCACCGUGACUCCCUUAAACCCCGCUGAAAAAGACCUUUCACCGUGGUGCUCAGUACCCCCACUGCCAUCAAGAUAGCAGGAAAAACUGCGCGGAUUCACUACACUCAUGUAAAGCCACUGGAAACAGCAGACAACGAGGGACAUACUCAGUGGACUACACAACAGACUGGUAACCCUUAAAGUUAAAAAUUGACUAACUGUUUUAGCUUGCUUGUUUUGAUUUUAAUAACAUUAAUGCCGACCUUACAUGGCGGCUUUGGUCCCCCUGUAAGCAAAAAAAAAAAAAACCAAUUGUUAAAGAUCUUUUGUUUUAAAAAAAAGGGGGGUCUCUGCGCCGCACUUAGAAAAAAAUGUUGUUUUUACACUGAUCAUACUGGGAUUGUAAAAGAUACAAUAAAAAAAAAGUUGAAAAAAAAAUCAGAUCUCAAGAGCCCCCUUCAAAUAAAGCCAAAGUGUUCUCUUUCCGAGAAUCAAUUCUGCCCUAUAUCCUCCCUUUAUUGAGACCCCUGGCCGGAUUCAUUAUAGUCAUGGCUAUAGCCCCUUGCCUCAUUAACCGAGUAACCCGGUUUGUGAGGGCUCAGAUCUCUCAGGUAAAAGUUAUGGUGCUACGUCAACAAUAUGACCCCUUACCUAUACAGGACUUUUAGGAUUAAAAGUCAUUGGAGAAAUAAAAGGGGGGAAUGUGAGAGUCGACCCCCCUGCUACAACCCCCUCCCCAGGGCGGGGAAUGAAAGGGUUAACUCCCUAACUCCCCAGAGCAGGGAAUGAAAGGGUUAACUCCCUAACUCCCCAGAGCGGGGAAUGAAAGGGUUGACUCCCUAACUCCCCGGAGCUCUCAGAACAGAGCAGUAAAGAGUGCUUCACUCCCUAAACCUUUCCCAGGAGAUAGUCAGAGCAGGGCCAAAAGGAAUGUCUCUGCUAGUCAUUAACCACUAAAUGCUCUGUUCUCUAUAAAGAUAGAGAUAAGCAAAAGAAUAUACUGUAUAAACAGGACCAGGGAGCACCUGGCACUCUAAGGUCAACCCAAGACCCUCGGUCUCCAUGGUUACUCAGCCCCAAACCCUCAAAUCAGCAUUAGCCAGGUCCUGCGCCGCUCAAAAUUAACCAAUGCGAUUUGCUUCUGUAAACUUACUUGCCUCCUACAUGUACCUUUAAAAACCCUACACAAAUUCCCCUCGGGGCCCCUCUGCACUUGUUUGCCUGAGGGACCCCAUGCGCAUGGAAAUAAACUUUUUUCCCUCACCAAGAA